rnacentral:rRNA from 2 species
UCAAACAAAAGCCGUAUUUUGUGGAUGCCUUAGGUUCAUAUGCACAAUGGGCGCUUUACGAUGCGAAACGUUGUAUCUGAGACAUCAUUCUGAUAGGUACAAAUCCCCACAGCGGUAAACCGCAAUAUUUUGACACGAGGAGAACUGAAACAUCUAAAUAUCCUCUAGGAAAAGAAAUCAACCGAGAUUCCGUUAGUAUUGGCGAAAGAACGCGGACAAGGCAUAUGAUUAUGAAAUUGAAAAACAUGUUGGAAUACAUAGACCAAAGAAGGUAAAAGUCCUGUAUUAUGCCUUUCAUAAUCAUCAAGAGUAGAACGUUAGACUGUUUGAAAAUAGGAGAACCACCUUCUAAGCCUACAUAUGCAUAUGAGACCGAUAGUGAACAAGUACUGUGAAGGAAAGGUGAAAAGAACCCUCUUGUAUAGGGAGUGAAAAGAUCUGAAACAAAAUACAUACAAUCAAUCGAUAUAUUAAAAAAAUGUAUCGGUGUACCUUUUGCAUAAUGGGUCAGCGACUAAAUGUGUGCAGCUUGCUUAAGCAACGAUGUGGAGGCAAAGCAAAAGCGAGUAGGUUUUCCUGCGUUUGUUGCAUGCAUUUGACCCGAAACUAAGUGAUCUCGUUUUGAGCAGGUUGAAGAAAGCGUAAAGUCUUUUGGAGGACCGAACCGACGUCUGUAGCAAUAGGCGCGGAUGACUUGAUACGAGGGGUGAAAGGCCAAUCAAACUUAGAAAUAGCUGGUUCUUCGCGAAAUUUAUUGAGGUAAAGCGUCUAUUAAAUCUUUCUGGGGGUAGAGCACUUAUUGAGCUAUGGGGGUCCAAAACCUUACUGCUCUCAAGAAAACUCCGAAUACCAGUAAAGUAUAAUAGGCAGACAGACAAGCGGUGCUAAGGUCGCUUGUCGAAAGGGAAACAGCCCAGCCUGGCCGCUAAGGUCCCAAAGCAUUCUGUGAGUGGGAAAAGAUGUGAUACAACUAUGACAACUAGGAGGUUGGCUUGGAAGCAGCCAUUCUAUCAUGAAAGCGUAAUAGCUCACUAGUCGAGUUGUGUUGCGCUGAAAAUGUAUCGGGGCUGAACAGAAUCACCGAAGCGCCAGUUUUUAAGUAGCGAAGCGUUUUGUGCGCCAAUGAACAUACAUCGUAAGAUUUGUGGAAGGUCUCAAAAGUGACUAUGCUGACAUGAGUAACGAAAAAUCAUGUAAAGCCAUGAUCGCCGUAAGUCCAAGGGUUUCUGCUAACUGGGAAUCAGUGCAGAGUUAAGUUCGGUCCCUAAGAGUUUGUAUACACUUAUACGCUCGAUGGAGGACGUUUAUGCAAGACGGCUAUUAUACACAAAUACUGCAAAUUGGAUACGGUGUAUGUGUGUUGUAGUCCAGGAAAAAAGCAUUAAUGCAAGACCGUACCCGAAACCGACACAGGUGGACGAGUCGAGUAGACUCAGGCGUUGAGUGAACCAUAUUGAAGGAACUCGGCAAAAUAAUCCCGUAACUUAGGAAGAAGGGAUACCGAAAGGUGACACAAAAAUGGGGGUGACGACUUUUUACUAAAAAAUUAGGACUCUGCAAAAUGGUAACAUGCUGUAUAGGGUCUGACGUCUGCCCGGUGCUAGAAGUCUAAAAGGCGCAUUGCAAGAUGCAAAUGGAAAGCCUAGUAAACGGCGGUUGUAACUAUAACAAUCAUAAAGUAGCGAAAUUCAUUGCCAGCUAAUUCCUGGCCUGCAUGAAAGACGUAACGAUUGCCCCACUGUCUCCAGUAUGGACUCAGUGAAAUUGAAUUCUCCGUGCAGAUGCGGAGUACGUGCCCCAAGACGAGAAGACCCUGUGCAUCUUUACUGUACAUUUGCAUUGACAAAACGAUGAGCAUGCGUAGGAUAGGUGGGAGUACAUACAUCCUUGAAAUACCACCCUUGCCAUGGGUUUUGUCUUACACCGAAUUUGGUGCACAAUGCAUGUGAGGCAGUUUGACUGGGGCGGUCGCCUCCUAAAAGGUAACGGAGGCGUGCGAAGGUAAACUCAAUGCAAGACGGAAACUUGCUGAAGAGCGUAAUGGUAUAUGUUUGCCUGACUGUAAGAUGUACACAUCAAACAGAGACGAAAGUCGGCCAUAAUGAUCCACAAGUGCCGUGUGGAAGGGCUUGUGCUUAACGAAUCAAAGAUACGCCAGGGAUAACAGGCUGAUAAUUCCCAAGAGUCCUUAUCGACGGAAUUGUUUGGCACCUCGAUGUUGACUGAUCAUAUCCUGGGGCUGAAGAAGGUCCCAAGGGUUCGGCUGUUCGCCGAAUAAAAUGGUACCUGAGUUGAGUUUAGAACGUCGUGAGACAGUUUGGAUUCUACCUGGGGUGCGCGUAAAAGAAUUGUGAAAACCACGUCCUUGUACGAGAGGACCGGACGUGUACAACCACUGGUCGAGUAAUUGUUUUGCCGAAAGCAUUGUUACCAGGCUACGUUGUGAAAGGAAAAGAACUGAAAGCAUCUCAAGUUCGAAACUUUUUUCGAGACAAAUUCUUUAAGAUGUCGUGAAAGACUAUCACGUUAAUAGCCGAGCUGUCUAUACCAUGAAAAUGAGUAAUGCAUGCUCGGACUAAUCUUUUUUAUUUAAUAAAAAU